GCUGGCAGUGUGAGUGAGGGAGGCGGAAAAACAAGUAACUGCAUUUCUUCUUGCCGGCUCCAAAAUCAGAUCAGAUGGGGGUUUAUGAUAAAAUUAGUUUUGGUGAACCAUUACACAUAGCUUGGUGGAGAUUAAAGAGAAGACAGAAGACACCGAUCUUUGAAAUUGUUGUCAUAAUGACUUCUCCUCUCGGAUCUAAUUUAUUAGUUCCCUUCUAGUCAUGAUAUGGCAGAUCUAUCCAGUCUCAAAUCUCUUUAUUAGGUUCUCAUUGAUGGGAGAAACACAACAUCAGUUGAGAUUGGGAUUGGUUAUACUGGUAAUCAUUGAAUUUGAGAAUAGAGAUUUUGUCAAUUUCUCACAGUUUCCAAAUUGUUUUUAAUUAGGAAAAAGUUUCGGAGUGUUUUCAUUUCUGAUCCUGGUAGUGCUGUAUGUACUUGUAGCUUUCUCUUAUCAACACAGAAAGAUCAGUUCAGAGCUUACAUUUCAGUUGCUAGUGUAGAUUUUCAUUGCAGAUCUUAUUGGCUAUUACAAGUGUUCACUUUGGAUUUGCUUCAUCUAUAAAUGUUGUUAGUUUUUGAUGAUAGUUACAUUAAAUGCAUGUUUUGGUGCUUGAUAGAAUCUAUAUCUCAUUGCUAGUUAUGCUUGAA